UCUUCUUCGGUGUUAGGCACAGGAAAAUUUGAGUUUCCAAGAGGUUUUACCAAGAAGAG
rnacentral:tRNA from 1 species